UGUCCUUCUACACGGCAUUCGACUUCCGCUCUGAGCCACUUAUUCAUUUUCUGUUUGGUAGCCACGUGCAUGUGAACAAGUCAAUCUGCAAUGGGUUGAAUAUAAGAAUCGUUUUCCAAAAUGGAUGGAAAUUUGCAACUAUAAUACGCAGAUAUGCAUAUCUGUGCAUGUAUGAUGCACGGUAGAAGGUAUCUUGUACGCAUAACCUAGCUCCUGAGACGCCGAUGUAAAAAUGAAGCUCCCAAUGGCUGCCUUCAUACACUGUUCGGGAUGAUGAAGAACGGGCUGCAGAAAUCACAAUUUAUGGAAAUGCCCGUCUGCAUAAAUAUGUAUGCUAAACUGCAUUUGUACAAAAACAGAAUAAAGAAAAGCAUAAGCGCUUUACUUAAAUGA